GGGGGUUUAGCUCAGUAGCACCGCACCUGCCUUGCAAGCACAAGGACCUGAGUUCGAUUCCCAAGACCCCCC
rnacentral:tRNA from 1 species